rnacentral:rRNA from 1 species
UACGUAGGGUGCAAGCGUUGUCCGGAAUUAUUGGGCGUAAAGAGCUCGUAGGUGGUUUGUCGCGUUGUUCGUGAAAAACUCACAGCUCAACUGUGGGCGUGCGGGCGAUACGGGGCAGACUAGAGUACUGCAGGGGGAGACUGGAAUUCCUGGUGUAGCGGUGAAAUGCGCAGAUAUCAGGAGGAACACCGGUGGCGAAGGCGGUUCUCUGGGCAUUACCUGACGCUGAGGAGCGAAAGUGUGGGGGAGCGAACAGG